UACGUAGGGUGCGAGCGUUAAUCGGAAUUACCGGGCGUAAAGGGCUCGUAGGCGGCCAACUAAGUCAGACGUGAAAUCCCUCGGCUUAACCGGGGAACUGCGUCUGAUACUGGAUGGCUUGAGUUUGGGAGAGGGAUGCGGAAUUCCAGGUGUAGCGGUGAAAUGCGUAGAUAUCUGGAGGAACACCGGUGGCGAAGGCGGCAUCCUGGACCAACACUGACGCUGAGGAGCGAAAGCCAGGGGAGCAAACGGG
rnacentral:rRNA from 1 species